AUUGAACGCUGGCGGCAUGCUUUACACAUGCAAGUCGAACGGUAACAGGCCGCAAGGUGCUGACGAGUGGCGAACGGGUGAGUAAUGCAUCGGAACGUGCCCAGUCGUGGGGGAUAACGCAGCGAAAGCUGCGCUAAUACCGCAUACGAUCUAUGGAUGAAAGCGGGGGACCGAAAGGCCUCGCGCGAUUGGAGCGGCCGAUGUCAGAUUAGGUAGUUGGUGGGGUAAAGGCUCACCAAGCCAACGAUCUGUAGCUGGUCUGAGAGGACGACCAGCCACACUGGGACUGAGACACGGCCUAGACUCCUACGGGAGGCAGCAGUGGGGAAUUUUGGACAAUGGGCGCAAGCCUGAUCCAGCAAUGCCGCGUGCAGGAAGAAGGCCUUCGGGUUGUAAACUGCUUUUGUACGGAACGAAACGGUCCGGGUUAAUACCUUGGGCUAAUGGCGGUACCGUAAGAAUAAGCACCGGCUAACUACGUGCCAGCAGCCGCGGUAAUAC
rnacentral:rRNA from 1 species